ensembl:misc_RNA Metazoa_SRP Metazoan signal recognition particle RNA
GCCAGGCGUGGUGGUGUGCGCCUGUAGUCCCAGCUACUCAGGAGGCUGAGGUGGGAGAAUCACUUGAGCCCAGGAGGUGGAGAUUGCAGUGAACCGAGAUCACACCACUGCACUCCAGCCUGGGCAACAGAGGGAAACUCCAUCUCAA